UCUCCGAGGCCGCGCGUUUAUCCUCUCCGGUUUCGAUUUCCUUGGUGCUUUGGUUCUCACACUCCAUUGGAUGUCGACACGUUGGUCUUCUGGAGCCUUCCAUCCUUUUCGAUCCGUGUCUCACAAACGCUUUUCUUCCUCUCAAUCCUCACGUUUUCUGGCUCUCCGAUCUGGGGUUCUCUGUGUCUCUCUCUCACUUUCUUGCUAAGAAUGAUGAACUAGUCAAAAUUUGUGCAGAUAUUUUUCUGGAAAAAUAGAAACGAUGCUCUGUUCUUCCUUCCUUCCUCCUCCCCAUCCGUUGGACGGCAUCUCUUCCAUUUCGACCUCUCCCUUGGAAACCCGUCAGAGAUCUCUUCAGGUAAAGGUAGAACCCAGAAGAUAUAUGUUCAGCUCGAUUCCUCGGCCGAUCACCUCUGACAACUCACCCGAACCGAAUGUCGCCAUCGCUGAGAGCUGAGUUUCGUUUGUCAAAGACGAUGGUGAAUUUAGGGGUGCUAUGUAUUUGGGGUAUUUUAAAGUUUGUUGUUUUUGGGUAAUUAAGUUGAAAAGAAUUGUAAUAUUGUGGUUUAUGUGUGGAUCUUGCAGUUUUAGAUAGAUUGAAGUCUGCAUCUGGGUGAAACAUGAAGGCGCAGUGGCAACAACUGCAGAGAGCCUGCACCAUCCCCUACAGAUUUCCCUCCGACAAUUCCCGAAAGCCCACUUCCACUGAGCUCUCUUGGAUCGACCUCUUCUACAACUCCACCCCCUCCUUCAAGAAACGAGCUGAGUCUGGCGCAUCGGUUCCCGACGCUCCGGCCAGACCUGAGAAAUUUGCUCAGAGGUACACUGAGAUACUGGAGGACUUGAAGAAGGAUCUUGAGAGUCACAGCGGCCCGCCGGAUUGCAUUCUUCUUUGCAGACUUCGGGAGCAAGUUCUUAGGGAGUUGGGAUUCCAAGAUAUAUUCAAGAAAGUCAAGGGUUUUAUUGAAAACAAACUUAUACAAGCCAACGUAAAAGGAGAGAUGAGGCAAAGGCUGGCAUUGUUGAUAACGCUAGAAUGCCGUCGUUUUCUGAAGCACUCAAGCUAAGUUCCAUUGCGUUCUCGGAUGAGUUGGUUUUUUCUAAGUUUCGGAUAAAGAAUUAUUCCCAUUUGGGUAUAUAUACAUUCAACUCCAAACAUUAUAUAACCGAAGAGAAUGGAAAGUGCACUGCUCACAAAGGCAAAACAAAGGAUAGCUUCUACAUAUGAGAAUAAGAGUGGUUAGUUUGAUCGUGAUUGUUUUUUUUUAUUUGGUUAAAUUGAAGUUAGGCUUACGUCUAAUUCAGUUGUUUGCUUGCACAAGUUGAAAUCACUAGCUUUAUAAUGCUGGUGACCGAAAUAAAACCUGAGUUUUAUGUUAAAAUGAGAUCAUAAUUUUCGUUAUGGUGAGAACUGAGAACUUAGACCCUAAACCCUAAACCCUAGACCCUUUUUUUUUAUUUUUAAAUUUAUCUUUCCCAUUUUUGAAAUUUAGAAAUUGAAUUACUUUUCUAUACCUUUUUGUGAUCAUGCACUGGGAAUUUGUUAAUUGUAUUAAUAUUAUGAGGUAGGGUUUAUACUUUCUAAGAUCCAUUUCUCAUGUUUAGAGAUUGCUUGAUUUAAUUACAUGUGAUAUAAGUUGAUGUGUUUAUACAUGUAAAACAUAAUUUUUCACACAAUUUCCAAUCCCGCAGCAACGCGCGGGCAAAACUUUCUAGUAUGCUCUAUUUCCCUGAGAAAAAGAAGCAACAGCCCCAUAUGCUUGACCAAUGGUUCCAUACUCGUUUUCAAUCCGGUAUAAUUGAAACAACAAUUAACCCAUAGAAAGGUUCUGUUAAGUGCCUCUGAAAAAAGGUUUGUUGGUUUGCUUUUCAGCUUGCUUGCUUUGUGGUGAUACGGUGUUUGGGAUUUCAUGUUUGGUCCAAGAGAAUGGAGAAGAUUGUAGAUAAACAACAGUUGAAAAUUAGUAGGUUCACUGCCUCAAUUUAAUGAAAAUUCUUUGUUGCAAUUGAUCACACCAAGACAAAAAUAAAGGAAGACUUCUAAUCCCAUAAAUUAGCAAAAAUUCUACCAUCCUAAAUUCCAAAUCCCACUUGACUUCGCUGCCCCACACCUUUAUCCUCCGUCUCCCAUUGACUAAAAACACUCUCAAAGCACACCAGCCAACCAUACAAAGCCAGUGGCCACAUCAAAUAUUAGGCACGAUUCAAGUAACCAAAUUCAAAUAACAGAGUUCAGAUAAUGAAAUACAAAGAACACGAUACAUAUAGUAAAAUUCAAGAACAUGAUUAAGAGAAUUUGAACAUGUCAAGUAAAAUCAUAUUUAGUGAAAUCCUAAACUAUAGCAUGCUAAAUAAAGACGGAAAAUGAUACAACAGUAGAAACUUCUGAAAAUGGACAUAACAGAACUUAUGUUCUGAAAACAACUUCAAAUAGGAAGAGAAAAGUUUAAUGCACUCACAGCAUCCUCCAUUGUGGUACGCCAUCCUUGCAUGGACAAUAAACCAUAUAUGACACAACCAUACUCGCAAUCUUCGGAGAACUUUCCAAUUUUAGGAGUGCUCAUAUUGUACCCAUUCCAAUAUGAAAUUAAAUAAGAACUCAAUCAAAAACUCUAACCUACAAUUCAAUGCUGAAAAACUAAAGUAGCUAGAAACCAAAAGAUCUUAGUGACAACUUGUACGAACGUUACAAAAAUGCAGAACGCAAAACACAUUAAAACUUCUAGAAACUCGAAGUUAUCGCUUUUUGGUUAUGAAGAUAAUUAUAAAUCACCAGGAAACCAAAAAAAUGGCAAGGAUUUGCCAAAAUUUGUAAAUCAAACACAAAUGCAUCAACUCCUUUUCCUCUGUUAGUCUAUUAUCAUCUCACAUGCCACACUAUUCAAGACCGGAUCAAUUUAAUCAUAGCCAAACCGCUAGUAUUAAACUUAACUAAGUACCGAUCAAAUGAUCUAAACAUUGUGUAUUACAUAUCCAAAUCAAUAGUGGUAAUAAAUAAGAUAAUUUCAGCUGCCAUUUGCAAUUAAAAUUUAACAAUGCUUACUCCCAAGGAAUAUCUGACAUUGAUUGCAGCAAUCAAAUGUGCGUUUAAUUGAAUUAGCUAUGUAUUUGAGGAUUUGGGAAAGGUUUUUUUUUAGAGUAAACAGACGUUAAUUAUUAGCCAUGUAUUUGCUUAACAAAUUGUAGCUGAAAUUGCUAUGUAUUUCUGAAUGGGGAAUUUAAAAACCAAUCCUAAUUUGUCAUUGCUUAAACAAAUUGGAAUUUCAGAACCAAUCUCAAUGAUCAAAUUAACGAAGUAUUCAAUUUUAUGAAAACUCUUAAGCUAAUUUAGAAAGGCAAAUUGCAAGAUUUUGAAGGAAUUUGAAAAUGGAGGGAGAAAAAACCAAAUUAGAAAGUAGUGUCUUAUCUCCCUCACAAAAUCAAUCGCACAAAAAUCAUAGCUUUUGAUGGAAUUUCAAAACCAAACAAAUCUCUUAAGAUUUCUCAAUUAUUAACACUACUCUUUAUCAAUUAUUAAAAACAUAAAGAUCAAAGUCAAUUGGGUGUAUAAUUAUAUACCUCAUCGUGUCAAGUAAGCAACCAAAUUUUGCCUCCAACGACCCAAAAUUCUGAAAAUUCCAAAAAAUUUAAUUAAAAAAAACAACAUAAGAAAGAUAAAACCAGAUGCCAAAUCAUCAAAGAUUAAAAACCACUCAUAAUCUAUUAGCAUUUGAGUCUAAAUAUGAUACUAUCAUAUUGAAACCAACGCUGAAUAAAAUCCAGCAAUGAGAUUGUGAUGAUAUAACAUCAUUUAUUUAAAGCUGCAUAUACUAACCUAAAAAAUAAAAUAUGGCAAGAAUAGACUGCCUCCAUUGGCCCUCCAAGUCUCCUAACCACCAAACCACCCGUCUAGAUGCAUUUGCCUGUUCUUUCCCACAAUUCUUAGAGAUCAAAUAGAACCCUCAGAUUGACUGGGGACAAUAUCAAAAUCCUUUUUUAAACCGUAACAUAGGAAGACAUGAAUAAUUUCGACAAACAGACACACAAAUUGUUGAGGGAGGAUGUGAAGCUUAUGUACGGAAGGUUUCUACUCUUGUACAUCUAAAAAUCCAAAGGAGAAACACCUAAAAUCUAGAAAAUUAGGAGCACUUGACGCUGAAGGGACCGAAGAAAUAAAAAACCGAAGGAUAUGACAAUUAAGUUUUCUCAAUAUAAAAGCUUUUGGUGAUUAAAUCUCCAUUUUGGAUUUCGAACUAUAUAAGCCCUUUAGAUUUCUUAUAGAAAUAAGAGUAAAUUGUAGCAAUGACUCCUCAACUUUAAUCAAAUUGGAGCAAUGAUCCCUCAACUAAAAGUUCAUUAUUAUGGUCCCUCAACUCAUGAAAAUGUGUAACUAUGGUCCUUUUAAUUAACUUCGUUAGAAUUUUGUCAAAAUGAAUUAUGUUAGAAAAACUAUUGCUACAAUUGGGGUCCCGUAACUCAUCAUAACGUGUAGUUAUGGUCAUUUUCAUCAACUUCGUCAGAAUUUUGUCAAAAUGAGUUAUGUUGGAAGGACUAAAACUACAAUUGGAUUAAAGUUGAGAGAUAAUUUCUCCAGUUGGAUUAAAGUUGAAAGACCAAGGGUAAUGAAUUUUUAGUUGAGGGACCAUAUCUGCACGUUUUGAUGAGUUGAGAGACUAAUGGUAAUUGAUGUUUAGUUAAGGGAUCAUUGCUCAAAUUGAGUUAAAGUUAAAGGAUGAUUGUUACAAUUUACUCAAAAUCCUAAGAAUAGUUUAUACCUACGAAGACAAAAUAUAAAAAAAAACUAUGCCGUCAAAAUCAUACCAAACAACCAAUUUAUACAUUUCACUAAAAGCAUGAAUGUUGAAACAAAACUAUAAUAAAAACA